rnacentral:rRNA from 1 species
AUGGCCAUGAUCCUGAAUGCCUUAGCAUCCAACGUGCUAAACAUGUUAAUGGAGGUAGGAAAAGAAGAGGUGAGCUUGCUUCUCGGAGUCUCCGGUGAGAUCAAUAGGAUGCGCGUUCGGCUCCAGGACCUCAGGAACUUCUUGACCGAUGCUGACAGAAGGCGCAUCACCGACAAUAGUGUCCAGGGAUGGGUGACAGAGCUCAAGGGUGUCAUGUAUGAAGCAACCGACAUCCUUGAUCUCUGCCAGCUCAAGGCCAUGGAGCAAAGUCCAUUAGCAUCACAAAAGGGGUGCUUCAACCAAUUAUUCUCCUGCCUGCGCAGUCCCCUCUUCACCCAUGAUAUCAGCAGCCGCAUCAAGGUGCUUAACCAGAGACUAGACAACAUUAAGGAGCGGAGUGCUGCCUUUAGCUUCAUCAACCUCGGCUCCUACGAUGACCAUGGUGGCAAAGUACAUGCCUCACAUGUUGCCUUUCCCAGCCGCGAGACGUCAGGGGAGCUUGACCGGUCGGGUGUCGUCGGGGAGAAGAUCGAACAGGACACGAGAAAGCUGGUGGAGAUCAUGUUGACUGGAAUCAAGGGGGGAACGAGCCAUGGAGACGGCAAAGUCAUGGUUUUCGCUAUUGUGGGUGUUGGCGGGAUCGGCAAGACCACUCUCGCCCGGAAGGUCUUCAACGACGAGGCUAUCCAAAGUGAGUUCGACAAGACAAUAUGUGUCAGCAUCAAUCAAGACCUCAACGAAGCUGAGCUGCUGAAGAGAGCCAUCAUUGAAGCAGGGGGAGACCAUUCGCAUGCUGGAAAUGCAAAGGCCACGCUUCAACGAGUCCUCAAGGAUACCUUGACAGGGAAGAAGAUCUUGCUAGUGAUGGAUGAUGUUUGGAAUAAUAUAGCAUGGGAGGAUGUGCUCAAAACACCGCUUGUUAAUGGGGCCACUCCAGGUAGCCGAGUCCUGGUCACCACUAGAGAUGAAAGAGUCGCCCGAGGGAUGAAAGCUAUACCUCCCUACCACCACAUCGACAAAUUAGAUGCCGAUGAUGCUUGGUCCUUGCUCAAGAAACAGGUAGCCGCAAGUGAGAUGGAUGAGUCCGAUAUUGCUGCACUAAAGGAUACUGGAAUGGAAAUUGUAUCAAAAUGUGAUGACUUGCCGCUCGCAGUCAAAGUGAUGGGAGGGCUCUUGCGUCAGAAAGAUAGAAAUCACAGUGACUGGGGUAAGGUCUUGAAUGAUUCUGCAUGGUCGGUUGUUGGAAUGCCUGAAGAGCUUAACUAUGUUGUAUACAUAAGCUAUGAAGAUCUAUCUCCUUGCCUGAAGCAAUGCUUUUUGCACUACUCCCUUCUCCCUAAAAACAUAGUCUUUGGCAGCAAUACAAUUGUUGGGAUGUGGAUCGGCGAAGGAUUUGUCCAUGGAAGCUCAUCAGAUGACCUAGAAGAACUUGGGAGACAGUACUAUAAAGAGUUGAUCUUGCGAAACCUCAUAGAGCCGUACAACAAGACUAUCAAUCAAUAUCAUUGCAUCAUGCACGAUGUUGUUCGCUCAUUUGGUCAAUGCAUGUCACAAGAUGAAGCAUUAGUAGCUCAUAUUCGCGAGACUUCCACAAUUAGUAAACUUGGUUCCCAAAAGUUUAUUCGCUUAUCUAUAGAAACCGGAGGAUCUGAAUCAGAUAAACUGAAGUGGAGCAUGUUACAAGAACAGAAACAUGUAAGGACACUAAUAUCAGCUGGCCAAUUCGAGAUCAAGCCCAAUGAAACAUUGAUUUAUUUUUCAAGUCUACGUAAUUUGCACAUUCAGUCCGCAAACAUUGCUGCAUUGGUUGAUCAUAUAUAUCAACUCAAGCACUUGAGGUAUUUGUCUGUACGAGACUCUGACAUAUUUAGGCUGCCAGAUAACAUUGGCGAGAUGAAAUUUUUGCAGCUCCUUGACCUUAGGAGCUGUAGAAAAUUGAAGAAGCUUCCUAGUGGCAUUGUGAAACUAGGACACCUGAGGUAUCUUAACAUGAAUGAAACUAGUAAAGAUGCCACCAUACCUCGGGGGUUUGGUGCGCUAUCAAAUAUGAGGAUACUUUUCGGGUUUCCAGGCCACGUGGAUGACGAGUGGUGUAGUUUGGAAGAGUUGGGCCCUCUUUGUGAGCUAAGGAAGCUUGGUUUGAACAGUUUGGAGAAUGUAUAUGAUGCCUCAUCUGCUGAAAAGGCAAGGUUGUGUGAGAAAGUGCAUCUUACCAAGCUGAUCUUACGCUGCAGUAGUAGGACGGGAGACGAUGGGUUGGUGGAAGAGGAAGCAGGCGUCUCUGAGGAAGAGCAAAGAAAAAUCAUAGGGUUGUUUGAUGAGUUGUGCCCUCCACAUUGCUUAGAACGCCUGGAAAUUGGAGGAUAUUUUGGCCGACGGCUACCAAGGUGGAUGACGUCCACAUCUGCAACGGCCCUGAAGAGCUUAAAUACUCUCUGGAUUGAUGACCUGACUUGCUGCACCCAACUGCCUGAUGGUUUAUGUGAGCUCCCAUACUUGCAAUUCAUUCAUAUCUGCCAUGCUCCAGCAAUCAAGCAUGUUGGUCCUGAAUUCAUGCAACUCUACCAUCAUUGUAGUCAUCCUCCUUCCAAGACAAUGGUUUCAUUUCCCAGAUUGAACAAGCUGGACUUAAAAGAAAUGGUGCAAUGGGAGGUAUGGGAGUGGGAAGAAGAAGUGAAAGCCAUGCCCGUUUUGGAGGAGGUUCAGCUCAAGCAUUGCAAACUGAGGUGCCUUCCUCCGGGUCUUUCCUACCAUGCAAGGGCUUUGAGAAAACUAUCUCUAGAAAGCAUCCAACACCUCACUUCACUUGAGAACUUUGCUUCUAUCGUCGAUCUUGAAGUGUCCCAAAACCCUGACCUGGAGAGGAUCACCGAUCUCCCCGUAUUGCAGAAGCUCACCAUCAUCAUGUGCCCAAAGAUGAAGGUACUGGAGGGUGUGCCAUUACUCCAAAGCCUCUUUCUAGAGGACUACGGCAUGGAAGCACUCCCGGAAUACAUGCGAGGCGUAAACCCAAGGCAAUUGAAUCUGGAUUGCAGCAUAGCACUGCUCAGAUCCAUAGCUGCGGGACAACCGGGCCCUGAGUGGGCAAAAUUCAGCCAUGUCGGGCGUGUCAAGGGGUAUGCGCGGGAGGAAGACAACAAAAGAAAAUGGUACGUGAUGUACACAAGAGAACCCUACAACUUGGAGACAGAUAUCGACUAUUGA